rnacentral:tRNA from 1 species
GGACAGUUAGCUCAGCUGGUGGAGCAUCGCCCUUACAAGGCGGGGGUCACAAGUUCAAGUCUUGUACUGUCCACCA